GGGCCGGUGGCUUAGAAGGCAAAAGCACUUGUCAGCCAGGCAAGAGUUCGCGGGUUCAAGCCCCGCCCGGCCCA
rnacentral:tRNA from 1 species